ensembl:lncRNA
ACACUCAAAAGUCUGGGACAGUGAAGAAAUCUGAGUUUAUGUUGUAUUGGAACUUAUGUCUCAGCUCAGAUCGAGACACACUGAGCAUUCCUGGGUGUCCCAGGAGUUUGCCAAUCCCAGACACGAGGAUGAAUGACGGGAGGUGGUCUGAAUACGUCUCCUAGUGGUUAAAAGCAGCCAUGACAAGUUUUGCACGUGCUUUGCUAGAGUUUUGAAGCUCACGCCAAACUGGGGUCCACUUCACUCUUUGUGGGUUCCUCUCCAUGGGCUCACCUUUAUCCUGCAGCAGGUGUAUUUCAGAGAUCACUGGCUCUGUUGGAGAUGGAGGUCUCUUCUCAUGAAGGCCAACCCCUGAAGCUGUUCUGCUACCAAAGCUUGCACAUGGGCACUCAUUCCAUCUGCUUUUAUAAAAAGAAGAAAUCAGAGAAAAAAUCAGAUUCCCUGAAGAUCUCUCGUGAAAUCCGCUGCUCAAAGCAGGGCUAGCAUGGUUGCCCAGGAAUGAAAAUUUCAUAACCUCUCCUUUUCAAUUAAAAGGAAGAAAAACUGGAUAGAUAGACGAUUGCAUGAGUGGAAACUAGAGCAUGGUUUGCAAUUCAGACUUCGUUACUACUGAGAGUGGAUGAAUGACAUGAAAUUAGAACUGUGUUUGAAGAGAAUUGGCAUCCACACAGUUUGCGGUGGAAAACGUUCACAUUAACAGCAGUCAUCCUUACAGUUAUCCUUAAUUGCAUCCAGUCUGCCUUGGGGUGGAAUGGGCAAUAAGGGUGUGGAAAGGUGCAGAGCAAAUGUUCCCUAAGGCAAAGACUGUUUAGCAGUCUGGACUCAGAUGGCUUUAGGUACUAAUGGAGCACAAGUGCCAACGACUUCUAAAGUGACCAUUUUGAGCUCCCUUGUAAAAGGUAAAGGUCACAUGUUAUACAGAGUAAAUGAGGUGUAGCUGAAAAAACAGUGACCUCAGUCUCCUUCCUGGCCUGUAUCUUUUUUUAAAACCAUGCAUGCCUCCCUGCUACAAAUCAGAAAAUGUCUCAUGACAAAAGGGAAAAAUAAUUUAUUGGCUUUGGAGUGGUGCCUUAGGGUGCAAACAAUAU